UCAUCAAUAAACAGUUUUAAGAAAGUCUGGAUGGGUCCGCAAAUCACUGAUUUAGUCUCCCAUAUUUGAGAUUUGAUUAGCAAGGAGUGGUUCAGCAGCAGAUAGAACAAAAAGAAAAACCAAAUUUGGCACUAGAGCACUACUCUACUUCGGGCUUAUAGUCAUGUUGGGGAUUGAACUUGGAACCUCAGAGCCUCAGAUCUAACUCCAGCACAAAGAACUUGGAUACAGUGUGUUGUAUCGUACCGAAUUAAAGGACUCUGGGGAUGAACGGAGGCGCUUGCAUGUCCUGGUGCAGGAUGGUGGGGGAGGACCGAGACUGGGGGGGGGGGUGUACAUGUAUAUCAACAACUGCAUUUAUUGGAAGCCAUAACCCCCUCCUCAAGUAAAAGUGUCACUUUAUCUCAUAUCUAUAUUUUCAGCUAAGAUGACGAAAUAAACACAUUUGGAAAAGACUUGCUCAAAUCCCA